rnacentral:rRNA from 1 species
UACGAAGGGGGCUAGCGUUGCUCGGAUUGACUGGGCGUAAAGGGCGCGUAGGCGGUUCGUACAGUCAGACGUGAAAUUCCUGGGCUCAACCUGGGGCUGCGUUUGAUACGUGCGGGCUUGAGUGCGGAAGAGGGUCGUGGAAUUCCCAGUGUAGAGGUGAAAUUCGUAGAUAUUGGGAAGAACACCGGUGGCGAAGGCGGCGACCUGGUCCGAUACUGACGCUGAGCGCGAAAGCGUGGGGAGCAAACAGG